UUUGUUUAUAUUAUGAUGGAAUUUGGUUAUAAGUUUUGAUGCCUAUAAUUAACUGGUUUCUAGGUGUACUUGUGUUGCAAUUCCGUUCAGUGACAAUUUAUAUUUCAGGAAAAGUUCAUAUAUCCUUUUCAUUAUUGUUAGAUUUAUUUUUCAACAUUUUCGUAGUUGUUUAAAUGUUCUAUUUUCUAUCCCAUUUACUGGGAGUCACCGGGUACCUAUCUCCGGAUUUUUUUUUCCCUGUUUCGAACUUUUUUUAGUUCCGAUUAAGAGAGACAUGGUGAGUGGGGGAAGAAAAGGAAAAUUAAGUGGUGAUUCAAAACAAGAGAAAGAAAAGGUACUUUAUUUGAUAACAAAAAAUUGGUUAUGCCAUGGAUAUUUAUAUCGUUAGUUCAUUCAAGAAAUCGUCCAUUUGGAAGGUACUCUUCGAAAAUAAAUUUGUUUUUAUCCCUUCAUACUGCAUUUGUUUGUCAGAAUUUGAAUAUUGAAAAUGGUCAGUGCUACAGAUGUCACGAUUUCAUAAAUUAGGGUUCUUUAUUUUGGGAAAUUUAGUUGUAGAAAUAGAAGGGAGAAUUUCUGUGAAUACUUCUGAAUUUCAAGCUCAAUGAACCGGAUUGCAUGUCUAUCUCUCUUGAGAUUAUUUCCAUUUUGACUACUUUGCUGAACUGAGUGAACCUCUCCAUAUUUCUCCCUCUCUGCUCUAUACCUACACAAAUAUGCAUAUGCAUCAGUAUCUAUAUGUUUUGUAUUACAUUUUAAUGAUUGCUUGUGUAAUUAAUAUUGAUGCUACCAAAAAUCGCACAUGUUAUUUCCCGAGCUUUAUGAUUGAGAUUGAUUGAGAACUUGGGCACGUCCCUUAUUCCCAUGGACAUCCCCGUCCGUUCACACCUCGAGAGUGAGGCGGUGCUGACCUACCCACAAGAACCCUCGGAAGUGUAAGGAACAUGUGAUUAUCAAGACUGCUAGGGAGUUCGGGGUCAUGCCCUCUGAGUCCAUUGAGACCGUGCUAGGAGCUUAAGAGGGCGGGCCAGUUGGCCCUUAAUGGAUGGAGGCUACUGGUCUACUUUUUCAUUUUAUGUAGAUGUCUCGAGGUCGAGCCUUGACUCGAUCUCUUAAGAAUGUGAUAUGAAAUUCUCCUCGAGGUAUAACUGUUUUGUUUAUUUAUCGACGAAGAGGGUUUUAGGACACUAGAUACCCUGAGCUCACUUAUGGAUUGGAAAUAACGAUUCUUCUUUGUGAAAUCUCAAGACCCUGACCAUCCAUUUAGCCCGAAGUGGGAAAUCCCUAAUAAGGAUAGGUUCAACGAGGGCCAGGCCUACUUCGAGGUUUUAGAGAUGGAUAGGUUAAGGUUAGUGACUCCCCAACGGAAAAGAUUGAUGACCUGCUCGAGGAUGAUACCCUCGACCUUGCGAACGUGAGAGGCCUUGAGUAUUUGGAGAUGUCUUCUGAUCUAUCAAACUCCUCGCGAACGUCUGCAAUAAGGCCAAAGGCCUAAAGCCUAAGGUCCCUAUCCCGUUCAAGGGAAAGAAAAGGGCUAGGGAGGUCACACCAAGACAAAUCCCGAGUGGUUUAGGACAGACAUCAAAGAGCCCUACCUCGCCAUCGUAGCCCAUCCCCAAGCUGCAAGCUUAGGAUUCGACUCCUCAGGCUGGCUCAAACAUUGUGGAUCAGGAUCACGUCCCCAUGCCCACCAGGUCGUUCGAGGAGUAUGCUGAAUGCUCGUUGAUCCAGAGAGCAUUGUGGACAAGUAUGAGAAGGAGGUUAACCUUCAUGAAAGGGUCCAAACCCUCGAGCUACUCGCUCUGAAGUCUUUAAGUUAGCUUGAGGCCUGACAUUGAACAUCUCGAGCAAGUUAGAGGAGCUCGAGGCCAAGAAUGAGUGGGCGAGGAAAAGGGUUUUCGAGCUCGAGAGAGAGCGAGAUGAUGCUAGGGCAUAUUUGAGGAGGACCUGAGAUGAGAUCGGGGUGGCUAAGGAUAAGGCCGAAGAAGCUAAGCUCGAGCUCGUACAAGCCAGAAAGGGCUUUGAGGUUGAACUGGCCAGGGCUCUAGCUCAGGCUAUUGAGGACUUCAAGAAGUCGGAGGAGUUCGGGACCCUCCUAGGGCAGUAUGGGUCGAGCUCAUAUCACUACGGCUUGAGGCUUGCUCGAUUAUUUUUGCGGAUGAAGCUCCUCGAUGAUUUGAACCCUAUGUUAGAGGGAUUGAGAACGUUUAGAGCUUGCCAAUUAUCUUGAGCUCUCUGCAUCGGAGGUCGAUGAAGACAAUGAUGACGGAGAUGAUGUUGGGACCCUUGAUUAGAGUGAUGCCGCCAAUGCCAUUGACCUCGAUUAGGUCUUAUCCCUUGAACUUUUGCUUACUAAUUUUUGAAAAUUUUUUAAAGUACAUUGCCCGACCUGGGCUUUUACCUUUUGGAAAUGCUAUUACUAGCUUGAUGUUUUGCGUUUAUCAAAUAUUUGCUCAUGCCUUGUCUUCUACGCAUGUUUUUUUAUCUGUUUUGCUCAUGUGUUGUUUUGUGCAUGUAUUAAGGUCGAGAUAUAUAUAUCGUGUAAAGUAGCAAUGUAUUAUGAUCCCA